AUUGAACGCUGGCGGCAUGCUUUACACAUGCGAGUCGAACGGCAGCGCGGGCUUCGGCCUGGCGGCGAGUGGCGAACGGGUGAGUAAUGCAUCGGAAAGUGCCCAGUAGUGGGGGAUAGCCCGGCGAAAGCCGGAUUAAUACCGCAUACGACCUGAGGGUGAAAGCGGGGGACCGAAAGGCCUCGCGCCAUUGGAGCGGCCGAUGUCGGAUUAGCUAGUUGGUGGGGUAAAGGCUUACCAAGGCGACGAUCCGUAGCUGGUCUGAGAGGACGACCCGCCACACUGGGACUGAGACACGGCCCAGACUCCUACGGGAGGCAGCAGUGGGGAACUUUGGACAAUGGGGGCAACCCUGAUCCAGCCAUGCCGCGUGCGGGAAGAAGGCCUUCGGGUUGUAAACCGCUUUUGUUCGGGAAGAAAUCCUCUGGGCUAAUACCCCGGGGGGAUGACGGUACCGUAAGAAUAAGCACCGGCUAACUACGUG
rnacentral:rRNA from 1 species